rnacentral:rRNA from 1 species
AUUGAACGCUGGCGGCAUGCCUUACACAUGCAAGUCGAACGGCAGCGGGCCUUCGGGUGCCGGCGAGUGGCGAACGGGUGAGUAAUGCAUCGGAACGUGCCAUUGAGUGGGGGAUAACGUAGCGAAAGUUACGCUAAUACCGCAUAUUCUGUGAGCAGGAAAGCAGGGGACCGCAAGGCCUUGCGCUCUUUGAGCGGCCGAUGUCAGAUUAGCUAGUUGGUGAGGUAAAGGCUUACCAAGGCGACGAUCUGUAGCGGGUCUGAGAGGAUGAUCCGCCACACUGGAACUGAGACACGGUCCAGACUCCUACGGGAGGCAGCAGUGGGGAAUUUUGGACAAUGGGCGCAAGCCUGAUCCAGCCAUGCCGCGUGAGUGAAGAAGGCCUCGGUUGU